AGUGAACGCUGGCGGUAGGCCUAACACAUGCAAGUCGAACGGCAGCACAGUAAGAGCUUGCUCUUACGGGUGGCGAGUGGCGGACGGGUGAGGAAUACAUCGGAAUCUACUUUUUCGUGGGGGAUAACGUAGUGAAACUUACGCUAAUACCGCAUACGACCUACGGGUGAAAGCAGGGGAUCUUCGGACCUUGCGCGAUUGAAUGAGCCGAUGUCGGAUUAGCUAGUUGGCGGGGUAAAGGCCCACCAAGGCGACGAUCCGUAGCUGGUCUGAGAGGAUGAUCGGCAAACCGGGAACUGAGCCACGGUCCGGACCCCUAGGGGAGGCAGCGGUGGGGAAUAUUGACAAUGGGCGCAAGCCUGAUCCAGCCAUACCGCGUGGGUGAAGAAGGCCUUCGGGUUGUAAAGCCCUUUUGUUGGGAAAGAAAAGCAGCAGGUUAAUACCCCGCUGUUCUGACGGUACCCAAAGAAUAAGCACCGGCUAACUUCGUG
rnacentral:rRNA from 1 species